GGGUCUUUGGUUGGAGAUCCCUUUCUUGUGGAGUUUCUAUUGUGAGCCUAGGUCUUCAGAGACUGGGCUUAUGGUUUUGGUCAGUUCCACUCAGAAAAGUCUCCAUUGUGCUGUGGCUGGAGAUGAACAAGAGGGGAUGAGUUGCUACGAAAUUACUCUGUGCCUGCAAAGACCUACUCCUUUGCUUUCCUGCAACAGAAGUUCUUGCUCACAUAUCUAAUCAAUUGUAAACAACUGAAGAAUAGGGUUAAAACCUUCAUCUCUAAAAAUAAGAUUUCUCCAGCUCUGCUUUGUGGUGGAUCUCUUCUAUAGCUGGGACUUAUUGAAAUGGAUACUAUCAGGCCUCAUAAGCAGUUGGAAUCAUCCUGGCUUUGGCCCUGGAGAUAUAUAUACCAUUUAUUUCUCCUGUACUCAUCCUGGAAGGAGAAUCUAUCUGGGAAUCACUUUCCUCAUCUCUUACACCACCUCAGAGCAGCUCCUGCUUUGUGUCUUGCAGUGAGGCUGGAACUCAGCAGCCAUAAUCUGGAGCAACAGAUGAGCAAGUUAGUUCGUGAAGGGAGGAAAAAACUUCUGAAAAAUGAGAAAAUAAAAAUAAGAUCUUGCAAUCACGUCAGAAGGACCAGAAGUGGUGUCUUGAAAUAACUAACUUUGUAUUUCAUCUGUACCUGGAUGUGCAUGGGGAGAGAAAUCAGGAAUAGGCUAUAGUCAAGCAUGAGAGAGCAAACAUGGGCUCUGGGGACAUUUACAAUAAGAAAUGAAGCUUCAGCAUCACUGUGUUGCAAUGAGAGCUAGCACAUUUGGAACUUGAAUGUGUCAGUGCCUGUAAGUAUACAGAUGACUAUAUUUAGCUCUGGAAAUAAACACAAGUAAUCUGAUAGCUUUAAAAUGUCAGGUUUAGCUCAUCGGACAGUAAGAACCCUUUGAAGAAGCAAGUGUAACAUUAAGACUGACGCUGACUUUUGGUGUGGAGCUUAGAAGAGACCUGGCAAGACUAAGACACAAGGUGAUGGGCUACCAGGCAGGGACUGCUGGGCUAUUUCCAGCAAUGUUCGUACUUGUGGUCUGACCUCAGGCAAGCCAUUCGAUUUCCCCAUGCAUUUUGAUUUGGUUUCUUGUCUGCAUUAGCUACUUCUCUUGGCAGCUUCAGAGGCUCUGAAGAAUGACCUCGGCAUGAGAUAUCCCCACCUCAUCACAGAGAUGAAGAGCCGGACAGCUCUUCAGUGUGCACUGAAACAAGGGCAAGAUUCAACCAGGGUCAUUCUUGCUGCAACGUUCUCUUGCAGAUGUUGGAGCAUUAAGAAGCCACCUUAUGUACCUACUGAGUAUGUGAUGUGUCACUUAAAUGAUUGAUAGAGUUCAUGGAAUGGCACCAACCUGUUCCAAAACCUAUCUGUAAUGUAUAUAUGUUAGUUAUUUUAAUGCUAAUAAGAAGUAAAUAAAAUGCUACACUGAAGUUGUUGGAAGCCAUUCAGGUAUGG